AUCGCUUCUCGGCCUUUUGGCUAAGAUCAAGUGUAGAGCUGUUUUAGAGUCAAGUCACUGAUGGGACUUGUCUUUAUUUCCUAGCUGUUAAAAACAACAACAAAAUGGUAGUUUUCAUAUUUCCCGCCAGUUAGUCUUUGCGGUCUGUUAAUAAAAUCGGGAGUUAGUUAUAAGUGCCUUCUCUGUUUCUUGAAGACUGAGGCUUUU
rnacentral:snRNA from 1 species